rnacentral:rRNA from 1 species
GACGAACGCUGGCGGCGUGCCUAAUACAUGCAAGUCGAACGCUGAAGGAGGAGCUUGCUUCUCUGGCUGAGUUGCGAACGGGUGCGUAACGCGUAGGUAACCUGCCUGGUAGCGGGGGAUAACUAUUGGAAACGAUAGCUAAUACCGCAUAAGAGUAGAUGUUGCAUGACAUUUGCUUAAAAGGUGCAAUUGCAUCACUACCAGAUGGACCUGCGUUGUAUUAGCUAGUUGGUGAGGUAACGGCUCACCAAGGCGACGAUACAUAGCCGACCUGAGAGGGUGAUCGGCCACACUGGGACUGAGACACGGCCCAGACUCCUACGGGGAGGAGCAAGAGGGAAACUUCGGCAAUGGGCGGAAGUCUGACCGAGCAACGCCGCGGGAGUGAAGAAGGUUUUCGGAUCGUAAAGCUCUGUUGUAAGAGAAGAACGAGUGUGAGAGUGGAAAGUUCACACUGUGACGGUAUCUUACCAGAAAGGGACGGCUAACUACGUG